CGGCAUCCCACACCACACACCAGUCCCCAUUUGUUCAGCCUGCUCGCCUCGCGGAGGUGAGGUCUCUCCCUCCCGCCCGCCGACAAAACCCUAGCCGGGCUCCGCCGCCAUGGACGCCGCCGCAGGGGGAGGAGAGGGAGAAGUAUUUGUCAACUACGCCCAAAUCGAGGAGUACUUCAACAACAUGGCACUGGAGGGCCCGUCCGCGCAGGACCGCGUGGACGGCAUCGUCUCCCAGAUCAUCUCCCUCCUCCCCGCGCCCUUCGUCUCCGCGCCCGACGCCGACGACUCCGACGACGACCACUUCUCCCUCACGUCCUCCGACUCCGAGGACACCGCCGCCGCCGCCGCCGACCGGCCCGCCGUACAUGAUGGUGACGGCCGGGACCACGUCAGCCACCUCCCGGACGACCUGCUCUGCAACAUCAUCUCCCGCCUCCCCACCAAGGAAGCCGCGCGCACCAUGGUCCUCUCCACCCGCUGGCGCUGCGUGUGGGCGGCGACCCCGCUCCUCGUCGACGACUCCCACCUCAGGGCCGCCGACGGGCCCCGCGAUUUCCACCCCGUGCGUGCGGUCUCGCGCUGCGUGGCCGCUCACCCCGGCCCCGUCCGUGCCGUGCGCUUCACCCGCACCUCCUUCUACCGGCAGAAGUACGCGCUCGAGCACCUGAUCGCCAGCCUCGCCGCCAAGAAGAUCCAGGACCUCAUCCUCUUCAAUCGCCCCUGGCAGCUCGACAUGCCGCUCCCCGACAACAUCCUCAACUGUGCUUCCCUCACCCGCCUCUACAUCGGCGUCUGGCGAUGGCGCUUCCCAGAUACGACCGCCAACUCGCCUGCCUUCCCCAACCUUCAGGAGCUCGGCCUUUUCCACACCAUCAUCAAGGACAGGGAAGUCGAUGCCUUGCUCCCGCACUGCCCCAAGCUGAAAAUCCUCUCCUUUGCCAUCGCGUACAUUAGCCGUUCACGCCUCCGCAUCAAGUCCAGCAGCCUCCGCGUCGUGAUGGAAUGGGGAUGCAGCUUAGAUGAAAUCAUUGUCGAGGAUGCCCCCUGCCUGGAGCGCCUGCUCUUCCAAAGCAUUUUGGACCGGAGGCCUGUCAAGAUUGUCUAUGCCCCUAGGCUGGAGGUGCUCGGCUACUUGGACCUUCAACUCCACGCUCUCGAGAUUGGUGGCAUGGUCAUCAGGGUAACUGCUUAUUGUAAUUUCUGCCAUCUGCACUUAGCAUUCAUUACGUGACUGUGCAACCAAACAAAUUUCUCAUUUUAUUUUUUUAUAAUUUGCCUCAAUGGCACGCUGGGAUGAAUGUGAGAGCUAGCGCCAUGCUGCCAAGUUUGAAGAUAUUAGCUGUCAAGGUCCGAUUUUCGCACGACAAGGAGGUCAAGAUGCUGCACACCCUUCUCAGAUGCUUUCCUCGCCUUGAAACACUUCACAUCAUGUUCAUUCAAUCCACUUCACCUGAUGGUGUACAUUGUGCUGAGUUCUGGGAGUCUCAGAGCUCUUGCGAUUGCCUCGAAUCACAUCUGAAGACGCUCGUCCUCCACGGAUUCCAGGGCCUGGACUGUGAGUUGUUGUUCCUUGGUUACAUCUUGAAGAAUGGGAAGGUGCUUAAGACGCUGGGAAUGGUUUGUAGAGGCAGUGAUGAUGUGGUAUCGGAGGGAGGCCGGAUGACAUGUUCUGUUGGCGAGGGCAAUGCGCCAUCGGGUGGAAGUAGUGGCAGUGAUGAUGUGGUGGUGGAGGGAGGCCCUGUCCCAGGUUCUGCUGGUGAGGGCAAUGUGUCAUCAGGUGGAAGCACCGACAGCCAUGAUGUGGUAAUGGAGGGAGGUCCCGUGCCAGGUUCUGUUAGUGAGGGCGAUGCGCCAUCAGGCAGAAGCACUGGCAGUGAUGUUAUUUACGUUUGCCCCGCCUCCCCUAGCUGGAGCUUUCAGAACGCCAUUGACUUGUCAGUGGAGGAUCCCUUCUGUGUGUUGAGGCGUGCCAGGGCCUGGAGGGCUUCUCGAGUUGAGGCAUGAGUAGUUUUUGUUUUUGAUGCUGGUGGUAUUUCACAUCGACAUGUUUACUUGAGCUGCUAAGGGUGUGGUAGUUUACUUAUUAGUUGUGCACUUCUGCAUAAUUUUGCGGUGAACUGAGAAGGUAGAAUGAGGCCAUGAAGGUCUGGAAGCUAUUUUUACUACUAGUAUGUUGCACUCUUUCUUGAGUUCUCUAUUGGGGAAGACUAAUGUGAUUCUGAGAUGUGGAAGUGCCCUGGCUGAAAAUUGUUUGGCCUUUUGGCUUGUAAAAGUACCCUACUAUCAGAUGCACAAUCUAUCUCUACUGAUGUUAUUUCAUCGUGUGUGCUCU
rnacentral:rRNA from 1 species